AUGUCGGGUUGGUUCGGGGGGAAGACGGACGCCAAGGACGAGGAGGCCGCCAAGACGGGGCCGUCCGUCCAGGACCGCGCCAUCGAGGCGAAGGACCAGACCAUCAGCUUCAUCGGCGAGAAAAGCGAGGCCGUCACCAAGGCGGCCUCGGACACCGCCGACGCGGCCAUGAAGAUGGGCGGCGACGCCAUGGGGAAGGCCUCCGAGACGGGGCAGGCCAUCACGGACCGCGCCAUCGAGAGCAAGGACCAGACGUUCGGCUUCUUCGGAGAGAAGACGGAGGCUGCCAAGAAGAUGGCCGUCGACACCGGCGACGCUGCCAAGCAGAAGUCCGCCGAGGCCGCAAAGUGUGUCGAGGAGACCGCGGCGAAGUUCACCGGGGAACCCGCCGCCCCCAAGGAGCCCACCGGCAACAUGUUCCAGCAGGCCGGCGGGCAGGUGAUGGGUGCCGCUACUGGCGCCAGGGACGCCGUCAUGAACACGCUCGGGAUGGGAGGAGACAAAGCCGACACCGGCACCGCCAAAUGA
rnacentral:rRNA from 1 species